AUGAUAUAUUAUUUAAUCAUGGAAAUGCCAUGUCAAGUGCACCUAUCAGAAUCGGAAUAAACCAAUUACCAAAUCCACCUAUCAUCGCUGGCAUAA
rnacentral:rRNA from 1 species